UACAGAGGGUGCGAGCGUUGUCCGGAAUCACUGGGCGUAAAGGGGUGUGUAGGUGGCGCCGUAAGUCGGGGUGUGAAAUUUCGGAGCUUAACUCCGAAACUGCAUUCGAUACUGCGGUGCUUGAGGGACUGGAGAGGAGACUGGAAUUCAUGGUGUAGCAGUGAAAUGCGUAGAGAUCAUGAGGAAGACCAGUGGCGAAGGCGGGGUCUCUGGACAGUUCCUGACACUGAGACACGAAGGCCAGGGGGAGCAAAACGGG
rnacentral:rRNA from 1 species